AAAAUCUAACAAGGUUCCGUAGUGACUGCGGAAGGAUCAUUAAAAAAUGUACUCUAUUUGUGAGUGCAUUAAUAUCCAUCCUACCUUUGUGAAUUGUUGUAUGAAAUAAUUUUUUUAAAAAAAUAUUGAAUGUCUUCCCUGUUGAAAAGUUUGGUCGUAAGACUUGAUUUUCACAGGAUAGUCAUAAUUUUUUAAAAAACUUUUUUAAAUAAAACUUUUGUAUCAUUGUCUAAAAAUUAUUUUAUAAUAUAAAACACUUUUGACAAUGGAUCUCUUGUUCUCGCAAGAUGAGAAGCAGCAAAUCGAUAGUAGUGUGAAUUGCAGAAUACUGAAUCAUCAAUCUUCGAACGCAUAUGCACUUUUUAGUUACUAAAAAAUGUCUGUUUGGUAUCAGUAAAUAUUCAUAAAACUUUUGUUUUAUGUUAUGAGUGUUUUACACGAUACAAUUGUUCACUUUAAUUUUUUUUAAAAUUUGAAUUUUUCUAAUUUUAAAUUAAAAUUGGAUAAAUUUUCUGUAAAAGGAUAAUUAAACAAUUUUAAAUUGAAUUUAGAAAUCCAAAAUAAAAGAAAUUAUUACAAAUAACUUGAUCUCAAAUCAGAUAGAGUACCGCUGAACUUAAGCAUAUCAAUAAGCGGAGGAAAGAACUAACAAGGAUCCUUAGUACGGCGAGUGAAGCGGAAGAGCUCAAAUUUGAAAUCUUCAGUUUACCUUGACGAAUUGUAGUUAAGAAGUGUUUCUGUUGAAGUUCGGUAAAGUUUUUGGAAUAGACAUCAUAGAGGGUGAAUCCGUAUUUGACCGUUAUUUCAGCUGUUGAUACACUUUCAAAGAGUCGGAUUGUUUGGAAUGCAGUCCAAAAUGGUGUAAUUUCAUCUAAGCUAAAUAUUGCGAGAGACCGAUAGCGAACAAGUACGUGAGGAAGAUGAAAGAACUUUGAAAGAGAGUUAAACAGUAGUGAAAUUGUCAAAAGGAGCGUUUGACACCAGUGUUGUUUCUCGAAAUCAAUUAAAAUGCUUGAUUUGUGUUGUAUUGACUUAAAACUUUCUUCACUUUUUCAUGUCUUUUUAAUGCACUUUUCGUUUAACAAGUCAACAUCAGUUUCUUUGUUGUAAAAGGUCAUUGGAAGUGGCUUUCUUUCGGAAAAUGUUAUAGCCUUGACUCUGCAAUCGGAGAGACUGAGGUCUGCAGCGUAGAUCCUUUGGAUUAGAUUCAUUUGUGCUAAGUUAUAGCUUUUAUAGACAACUGUUGAUAUAUUAGUCUGUAGUUACUCGCUUAUGUAAUUUACCUACUUAGGAUGU
rnacentral:misc_RNA from 1 species